AUUGAACGCUGGCGGCAGGCCUAACACAUGCAAGUCGAGCGGAUGAGGAGAGCUUGCUCUCUGAUUUAGCGGCGGACGGGUGAGUAAUGCCUAGGAAUCUGCCUGGUAGUGGGGGAUAACGUUCCGAAAGGAACGCUAAUACCGCACACGUCCUACGGGAGAAAGCAGGGGACCUUCGGGCCUUGCGCUAUCAGAUGAGCCUAGGUCGGAUUAGCUAGUUGGUGAGGUAAUAGCUCACCAAGGCGACGAUCCGUAACUGGUCUGAGAGGAUGAUCAGGCACAGUGGAACUGAGACACGGUCCAGACUCCUACGGGAGGCAGCAGUGGGGAAUAUUGGACAAUGGGCUAAAGCCUGGUCCAGCCAUGCCGCGUGUGUGAAGAAGGUCUUCGGAUUGUAAAGCACUUUAAGUUGGGAGGAAGGGUUGUAGAUUAAUACUCUGCAAUUUUGACGUUACCAACAGAAUAAGCACCGGCUAACUUCGUGCCAGCAGCCGCCGUAAAAC
rnacentral:rRNA from 1 species